rnacentral:rRNA from 1 species
AGAAGCGGGGGAUAACACCUGGAAACAGAUGCUAAUACCGCAUAACAACUUGGACCGCAUGGUCCGAGCUUGAAAGAUGGCUUCGGCUAUCACUUUUGGAUGGUCCCGCGGCGUAUUAGCUAGAUGGUGGGGUAACGGCUCACCAUGGCAAUGAUACGUAGCCGACCUGAGAGGGUAAUCGGCCACAUUGGGACUGAGACACGGCCCAAACUCCUACGGGAGGCAGCAGUAGGGAAUCUUCCACAAUGGACGAAAGUCUGAUGGAGCAACGCCGCGUGAGUGAAGAAGGGUUUCGGCUCGUAAAACUCUGUUGUUAAAGAAGAACAUAUCUGAGAGUAACUGUUCAGGUAUUGACGGUAUUUAACCAGAAAGCCACGGCUAACUACGUGCCAGCAGCCGCGGUAAUACGUAGGUGGCAAGCGUUGUCCGGAUUUAUUGGGCGUAAAGCGAGCGCA